rnacentral:rRNA from 1 species
GACGGGGCCCGCACAAGCGGUGGAGCAUGUGGUUUAAUUCGACGCAACGCGAAAACCUUACCUGGGUUUGACAUGCCGAGUACCCGAUGGAAACAUUGGGUGCCCGUAAGGGGAACUUGGACACAGGUGCUGCAUGGCUGUCGUCAGCUCGUGCCGUGAGGUGUUGGGUUAAGUCCCGCAACGAGCGCAACCCUCACCCUUAGUUGCCAUCAUUAAGUUGGGCACCCUAAGGGAACUGCCGCAGUUAAUGCGGAGGAAGGUGGGGAUGACGUCAAGUCCUCAUGGCCCUUAUAUCCAGGGCUACACACGUGCUACAAUGGACGGUACAAAGGGUCGCGAACCUGCAAAGGGGAGCUAACCCCAGAAAACCGCUCUCAGUUCGGAUUGGAGUCUGCAACCCGACUCCAUGAAGCUGGAUUCGCUAGUAAUCGCGCAUCAGCUAUGGCGCGGUGAAUACGUUCCCGGGCCUU